AGUGAACGCUGGCGGUAGGCCUAACACAUGCAAGUCGAACGGCAGCACAGUAAGAGCUUGCUCUUACGGGUGGCGAGUGGCGGACGGGUGAGGAAUACAUCGGAAUCUACUUUUUCGUGGGGGAUAACGUAGGGAAACUUACGCUAAUACCGCAUACGACGUACGGGUGAAAGCAUGGGAUCUUCGGACCUUGCGCGAUUGAAUGAGCGGAUGUCGGAUUAGUUAGUUGGCGGGGUAAAGGCCCACCAAGGCGACGAUCCGUAGCUCGUCUGAGAGGAUGAUCAGCCACACUGGAACGUAGACACGGACCAGACUCCUGCGGGAGGCAGCAGUGGGGAAUAUUGGACAAUGGGCGCAAGCCUGAUCCAGCCAUACCGCGUGGGUGAAGAAGGCCUUCGGGUUGUAAAGCCCUUUUGUUGGGAAAGAAAAGCAGCAGGUUAAUACCCCGCUGUUCUGACGGUACCCAAAGAAUAAGCACCGGCUAACUUCGUG
rnacentral:rRNA from 1 species